AUACUGUGAUACUGACUGAAGGAUAGGAUCUGUGUAAUAAUAUUUGCCGUUGUUUCCGGUGAGACUAAUUUUUGGCUUUGUUUUUUGUUAUUGUUUUUUUAUUUUCACUAAAUUGCAAAUUGCCAGACAGCAUAAUCUACAGAGAGGAAGAAGUUCCUGAAUAACUGUAUGUCUACAAACUCAGAGCAUCACAAUCAUCACAACCCAGAGAACAGAAGAGCAUCAACAGAGCAGAUCUGACUUACUAAACAUGGACAGACACUUGAUACUGAUUUUAAUCAUGACUUUAGGUGCAAAGGCAGCAGACCAGAUUGGGCCAGAUCAGGGUGAAAAAGUCAUCAGUACUGAAGGAGAGUCUGUGAGAUUAAGCUGCUCAUAUGAUACAAGUAGCAGAGAUGUUAGACUUUACUGGUACAGACAGUAUCUUAAUAAAGAACCUCAGUAUUUAAUGUGGAAAGGUGCUCGGGACCGGGGUGGUACUACUGGAACCCCUGCUGAUCGUCGCUUUCAGUCGACUGCAUCAGAAAAAUCCACUGAACUCACUAUUACUGGUGUAACUCUGUCAGAUUCAGCUCUCUAUUAUUGUGCUCUAAGAGUUGGAGCCCAGUGAUACAAAGUCUAUGUGAAGCCGUACAAAAACUCAAUUUAAUUUUUCUCUUUGAAGCUCAACCACAUCAAAACCACAAUUUUAUAAAUAGAAACUAAUAAAUUAUUUGGAAACACCUGCAAACAACUGUGAUAAGAAAUGUUAUUCAAAAAAAGAAAUGUUUAAUAAUGUGCCAAUAAAACCUCAAAAUAUCAUCAGGAGUCACGGGUAUUAUGUUUGUAUGCCUUUUUUUCAGCUCUCCUGAUCAUUUAUUUUACACCAGCUGUCAUGCAGAUGUUAUGCAGUAGAAGA